UUCUGGCUCAGGACGAACGCUGGCGGCGUGCCUAACACAUGCAAGUCGAACGGAACUUUUUCAGAAGAUUCUUUCGGGAUGAUUUUGGUUAAGUUUAGUGGCGGACGGGUGAGUAACGCGUGAGUAACCUGCCUUUGAGAGGGGAAUAACAAUCUGAAAAGAUUGCUAAUACCGCAUAACAUAUACGAAUCGCAUGGUUUGUAUAUCAAAGAUUUUAUCGCUCAAAGAUGGACUCGCGUCCGAUUAGUUAGUUGGUGAGGUAACGGCUCACCAAGACCGCGAUCGGUAGCCGGACUGAGAGGUUGAACGGCCACAUUGGGACUGAGACACGGCCCAGACUCCUACGGGAGGCAGCAGUGGGGGAUAUUGCGCAAUGGGGGCAACCCUGACGCAGCAACGCCGCGUGAAGGAUGAAGGUUUUCGGAUUGUAAACUUCUUUUAUUAAGGACGAAUAAUGACGGUACUUAAUGAAUAAGCUCCGGCUAACUACGUGCCAGCAGCCGCGGUAAUACGUAGGGAGCAAGCGUUGUCCGGAUUUACUGGGUGUAAAGGGUGCGUAGGCGGCUUUGCAAGUCAGAUGUGAAAUCUAUGGGCUCAACCCAUAAACUGCAUUUGAAACUGUAGAGCUUGAGUGAAGUAGAGGCAGGCGGAAUUCCCCGUGUAGCGGUGAAAUGCGUAGAGAUGGGGAGGAACACCAGUGGCGAAGGCGGCCUGCUGGGCUUUAACUGACGCUGAGGCACGAAAGCGUGGGUAGCAAACAGGAUUAGAUACCCUGGUAGUCCACGCUGUAAACGAUGAUUACUAGGUGUGGGGGGUCUGACCCCUUCCGUGCCGGAGUUAACACAAUAAGUAAUCCACCUGGGGAGUACGGCCGCAAGGUUGCAACUCAAAUGAAUUGACGGA
rnacentral:rRNA from 1 species